CUUGAUGGUGUGAUGGAAUAUCCUCAUGUACAGGUCAAGUCUCAUUUCGCCACUAGUGUAUACGAGAAAGCAGGCACUUAAGGCACUUAUACAUUGUGUGAUAGUUUCCUUUCAGGUUAACAAUAAGUUAAGUUGUAAGAUAAAUGACAACAGCAAUAUCACAUAAACAGUACAAACACGCAGAAGCAUUUACUUAGACACAAAUUUUUGUAACUUUUAUCUAAUAACACAAAACCAGAAAUGUAUCGGCAACGAAUGUAGUAGCAUUGUUUGUAAUUAACGUUGCGUUGUAGUAACAAAACAUGUGCAUCGUACUUAGAUAAACUAAAAAAUUAUUUAUUAAAACCACUUCCUUUUCUUUACAAUACUUAUUUAUCAGUUUAUUUAUUUAUUUCAUCAGAAAGAACAUGGUUCUGAAAACUAUUUAUUUUGUAGCUUUUGUUGAUAUUUUUUGUAUUGCUCUGGUAGUCCCAUUAAUAGUCCCGCAUAUUUUAUCGGAUGGCGGGUCAGUAUUCUUAUCUGGUGUUGUAGAAUCGAUUUGCGCUGGAUUACAAUUUAUUAACGCACCAAUUGUGGGCAGUUGGAGUGACACAUUUGGAAGAAAGAAAGUUUUCACCUACACGUUGAUUACAUCUCUUGUGAGCAAUUUACUUCUUCUGGCAUCUCCUGGUUCCUUGGUCAUCUUCAUAUUUGCAAGAUUUUUAAAUUGUAAGACAAUUACCGUUCUACUUUUAACAGCACUUCAAAAAAAAAAAAAA